GGAGGAUAUCAACGCCAUGGAGAUGGAGGACGACAAGAGAGACCUGAUAUCCAGAGAGAUCAGUAAAUUCAGAGACACACACAAGUGUUCAUUGGGUGACUAGAGCAAGAUGAAUCUCACAAUCUCUGCUUGAGGAUAGGAUGUAAGUAUGAUCCUCCAUUUCUUCUCUACUCAUGUUGGGCGCCCCCUGCUGGAGGCUCUGCACAGGGGCAACUGGCUCUCAGCUCACUGUGAAUACACUUAAUAUAAAAUGUGGGGUUUUUGGGGAAACAAACUGGAUUCAUACAGAUUUCUGGCGAUGCACAGGUGUAAGGGCAGCUCAGUGAACCUCUGCAGUUCCUCACAUGAUAAAUGACGUGUUUGAGGAACAAGCACAGCCUGUAUGAGCCUAACCACUGCAGAGUUUGAACUGCAGCAUCUAGUGUUAUGAAGCAGGGAGCGCCCGUCCACAGCACUCUGAGUCUGAAGACACGCAAGGUGAGUGGAUUUAUUUCAGUUUUGUUUUCUUUCUCCUGGUCUGUGAUCCAGUGACUCCAGCCCCACUA